AUGCAUGCAAGUCGCACGCACCUUCGGGUGAGUGGCGCACGGCUGAGGAACACGUGGCUAACCUGCCCAUGAGUGGGGGAUAACGGGCCGAAAGGCUCGCUAAUCCCGCAUACGAUCCGCGCAAGUGGAGGAAAGCCGUAAGGCGCUCAUGGAGGGGGCCGCGCCCCAUUAGAUCGUUGGUGUGGUAAUGGCGCACCAAGUCUGUGAUGGGUUCCGGGUCUGAGAGGACGAUCCGGCAGACUGGGACUGAGACACGGCCCAGGCUCCUGCGGGGGGCAGCAGCAAGGAAUUUUCCCCAAUGGGCGCAAGCCUGAGGGAGCAACGCCGCGUGGAGGAUGACGGCUUUCGGGUUGUAAACUCCUUUUUAUGGGGACGAUAAUGACGGUACCCAUGGAAUAAGCCCCGGCUAACUACGUGCCAGCAGCCGCGGUAAUACGUAGGGGGCAAGCGUUGUCCGGACUUACUGGGCGUAAAGCGCGUGCAGGCGGAUGUGUAUGUGCCGUGUGAAAGCUCUCGGCUUGCCCGGGAGAGGUCGCGGUAGACAGCUCAUCUGGAGGCUCGGAGAGGUCAGUGGAAUUCCCGGUGUAGUGGUGAAAUGCGUAGAUAUCGGGAGGAACACCAGUGGCGCAAGCGGCUGACUGGCCGAGACCUGACGCUGAGACGCGACGGCGUGGGGAGCAAACCGGAUUAGAUACCCGGGUAGUCCACGCAGUAAACGAUGCACACACCGCCCGUCAAGC
rnacentral:rRNA from 1 species